rnacentral:lncRNA from 1 species
CUUGGGCCCAUCUUUUGAAAGAUACUGAGGCUCUGGGAUUAAAAGGAGUCGACCUGCAUUCUACGCAACUUGGGGCAAUUCCCAAGUUUCUAUUCCACUUCCCAGCUUACUAGACUGAUUCCCUCCCAUUUCGACCACUGUGACUCAUUCUCAAGAGAUUUUACCAUUUCAAGGUUCAAACGUCACUCAGAUUAUUAUCUUUGUAACCUGAUGGAUGUGCGUGUUCAUUUGUUGUUGCUGUGGGAUACACUCCACACGUCCGA